rnacentral:rRNA from 1 species
AGUGAACGCUGGCGGUAGGCCUAACACAUGCAAGUCGAACGGCAGCACAGUAAGAGCUUGCUCUUACGGGUGGCGAGUGGCGGACGGGUGCGAAAUACAUCGGAAUCUACUUUUUCGUAGGGGCUAACGCAGGGAAACUUACGCUAAUACCGCAUACGACCUACGGGUGAAAGCAUGGGAUCUUCCGACCUUGCACGAUCCUAUGAGCCGAUGUCGGAUUAGCUAGUUGGCGGGGUAAAGGCCCACCAAGGCGACGAUCCGUAGCUGGUCUGAGAGGAUGAUCAGCCACACUGGAACUGAGACACGGUCCAGACUCCUACGGGAGGCAGCAGUGGGGAAUAUUGGACAAUGGGCGCAAGCCUGAUCCAGCCAUACCGCGUGGGUGAAGAAGGCCUUCGGGUUGUAAAGCCCUUUUGUUGGGAAAGAAAAGCAGCAGGUUAAUACCCCGCUGUUCUGACGGUACCCAAAGAAUAAGCACCGGCUAACUUCGUG